CCCACCUUAGGGCAAGUUACCCACGUGUUACUCACCCGUCCGCCACUCGUUCAAAAUUAAAUCAAGAUGCAAGCACCUUUCAAUAAUCAGAACUCGUUCGACUUGCAUGUAUUAGGCACGCCGCCAGCGUUCAUCCUGAGCCAUGAUCAAACUCUGA
rnacentral:rRNA from 1 species